rnacentral:rRNA from 1 species
CCUACGGGUGGCACCAGUGGGGAAUAUUGCACAAUGGGCGCAAGCCUGAUGCAGCCAUGCCGCGUGUGUGAAGAAGGCCUUCGGGUUGUAAAGCACUUUCAGCGGGGAGGAAGGCGUUAAGGUUAAUAACCUCGUCGAUUGACGUUACCCGCAGAAGAAGCACCGGCUAACUCCGUGCCAGCAGCCGCGGUAAUACGGAGGGUGCAAGCGUUAAUCGGAAUUACUGGGCGUAAAGCGCACGCAGGCGGUCUGUCAAGUCGGAUGUGAAAUCCCCGGGCUCAACCUGGGAACUGCAUUCGAAACUGGCAGGCUAGAGUCUUGUAGAGGGGGGUAGAAUUUCAGGUGUAGCGGUGAAAUGCGUAGAGAUCUGGAGGAAUACCGGUGGCGAAGGCGGCCCCCUGGACAAAGACUGACGCUCAGGUGCGAAAGCGUGGGGAGCAAACAGGAUUCGAUACCCUUGUAGUC